UACAGAGGUCCCAAGCGUUGUUCGGAUUCACUGGGCGUAAAGGGUGCGUAGGUGGUUGGAUAAGUUUGAUGUGAAAUCUCCGGGCUUAACCCGGAAACUGCAUUGAAUACUAUCUGGCUUGAGGGUUGGAGGGGGGACUGGAAUACUUGGUGUAGCAGUGAAAUGCGUAGAUAUCAAGUGGAACACCAGUGGCGAAGGCGAGUCCCUGGACAACU
rnacentral:rRNA from 1 species